rnacentral:rRNA from 1 species
GAUGAACGCUGGCGGCGUGCCUAAUACAUGCAAGUCGAGCGAACAGACGAGGAGCUUGCUCCUCUGACGUUAGCGGCGGACGGGUGAGUAACACGUGGAUAACCUACCUAUAAGACUGGGAUAACUUCGGGGAACCGGAGCUAAUACCGGAUAAUAUAUUGAACCGCAUGGUUCAAUAGUGAAAGACGGUUUUGCUGUCACUUAUAGAUGGAUCCGCGCCGCAUUAGCUAGUUGGUAAGGUAACGGCUUACCAAGGCAACGAUGCGUAGCCGACCUGAGAGGGUGAUCGGCCACACUGGAACUGAGACACGGUCCAGACUCCUACGGGAGGCAGCAGUAGGGAAUCUUCCGCAAUGGGCGAAAGCCUGACGGAGCAACGCCGCGUGAGUGAUGAAGGUCUUCGGAUCGUAAAACUCUGUUAUUAGGGAAGAACAAAUGUGUAAGUAACUAUGCACGUCUUGUCGGUACCUAAUCAGAAAGCCACGGCUAACUACGUG